GGGAAUCUUCCACAAUGGGCGAAAGCCUGACCGAGCAACGCCGCGUGAAUGAAGAAGGCCUUCGGGUCGUAAAGCUCUGUCCUCAAGGAAGAUAAUGACGGUACUUGAGGAGGAAGCCCCGGCUAACUACGUGCCAGCAGCCGCGGUAAUACGUAGGGGGCUAGCGUUAUCCGGAAUUACUGGGCGUAAAGGGUGCGUAGGUGGUUUCUUAAGUCAGAGGUGAAAGGCUACGGCUCAACCGUAGUAAGCCUUUGAAACUGGGGAACUUGAGUGCAGGAGAGGAGAGUGGAAUUCCUAGUGUAGCGGUGAAAUGCGUAGAGAUAUGGAGGAACACCAGUGGCGAAGGCGGCUUCCUGGUCUGCAACUGACACUGAGGCGCGAAAGCGUGGGGAGCA
rnacentral:rRNA from 1 species